GAUGAACGCUAGCGGCAGGCCUAAUACAUGCAAGUCGAACGAGAUUAAGAGGCUUGCUUCUUAUGAAAGUGGCGCACGGGUGCGUAACGCGUAUGCAACCUACCUUAAUCAGAGGGAUAGCCCGAAGAAAUUCGGAUUAAGGCCGCAUAAAAACACAGGAUAGCAUUAUCCAAUGUUCAAAUAUUUAUAGGAUUAAGAUGGGCAUGCGUGUCAUUAGCUAGUUGGCGGGGUAACGGCCCACCAAGGCGACGAUGACUAGGGGAUCUGAGAGGAUGACCCCCCACACUGGUACUGAGACACGGACCAGACUCCUACGGGAGGCAGCAGUAAGGAAUAUUGGUCAAUGGAGGGAACUCUGAACCAGCCAUGCCGCGUGCAGGAAGACAGCCCUCUGGGUCGUAAACUGCUUUUAGUCGGGAAUAAACCUUUCUACGUGUAGGAAGCUGAAUGUACCGAAGGAAUAAGGAUCGGCUAACUCCGUG
rnacentral:rRNA from 1 species